CCUUCGUUUUUCACAAUAUAAAGUGAUCAAACAAUUUUGUAUUUGUUGCAUGCAAAGGUAGAGUAAAAAUGGCUAACACUCUUAAAGUUUUUUAUACUAUGAUCCUUUUCGUGUUCCUAUUUCUUGUUGUAGUUGAUGUUGGUGCUAAAAAAUGUAUCACAGACAAGGAUUGUAUUGAUGCUUUCUACUGUCCCAGUCAUCCUAAUAAGGUCUGCGAAGAUGGAAAAUGUAGGUGCUUAUAUUAACAGUUAAGAUUAUAUUCAACAUGAUCAUGACAAGUAAUCAAUGGAGUUUUUCUUGUGGAACUGAAGUACUAGAGACAUAAGAGUUUUUUUUUUACGAUAGUUGAUUUUGUGGUAUGUGUAGAUAUAUUUGGACUUCAAUAAUAUCUUUUGAAUGAGUUACUCUAUUUAAUAAUUGUUUGUAUUGUUUAAGAUUUAGUGUUUUCACUUGUUUGAUUUUUUAGUUUUUAAAA